rnacentral:rRNA from 1 species
GAUGAACGCUGGCGGCGUGCCUAAUACAUGCAAGUCGAGCGAACAGAUAAGGAGCUUGCUCCUUUGACGUUAGCGGCGGACGGGUGAGUAACACGUGGGUAACCUACCUAUAAGACUGGGAUAACUUCGGGAAACCGGAGCUAAUACCGGAUAAUAUUUCGAACCGCAUGGUUCGAUAGUGAAAGAUGGUUUUGCUAUCACUUAUAGAUGGACCCGCGCCGUAUUAGCUAGUUGGUAAGGUAACGGCUUACCAAGGCGACGAUACGUAGCCGACCUGAGAGGGUGAUCGGCCACACUGGAACUGAGACCCGGUCCAGACUCCUACGGGAGGCAGCAGUAGGGAAUCUUCCGCAAUGGGCGAAAGCCUGACGGAGCAACGCCGCGUGAGUGAUGAAGGUCUUCGGAUCGUAAAACUCUGUUAUUAGGGAAGAACAUACGUGUAAGUAACUGUGCACGUCUUGACGGUACCUAAUCAGAAAGCCACGGCUAACUACGUG